rnacentral:rRNA from 1 species
ACGGAAGGCAGCAGUGAGGAAUAUUGGUCAAUGGGCGGAAGCCUGAACCAGCCAAGUCGCGUGAAGGAUGAAGGUAUUAUGUAUUGUAAACUUCUUUAGUCGUAGAGAAAUAAGGUGCUCGUGAGCACUGAUGCUAGUAUACGAAGAAUAAGGAUCGGCUAACUCCGUGCCAGCGGCCGCGGUAAUCCGGAGGUUCCGAGCGUUAUCCGGAUUUAUUGGGUUUAAAGGGUGCGCAGGCGGCUUUUUAAGUCAGUGGUCAAAUCGUGGGGCUCAACCCCAUCCCGCCAUUGAUACUGGAGAGCUUGAUUGCGGUCGAGGUUGGCGGAAUUCGUCGUGUAGCGGUGAAAUGCAUAGAUAUGACGAAGAACACCGAUUGCGUAGGCAGCUGACCAGGCCGUAAAUGACGCUCAUGCACGAAAGUGCGGGGAUCGAACAGGAUUAGAUACCCUGGUA